AUUGAACGCUGGCGGCAUGCCUUACACAUGCAAGUCGAACGGUAACGGGCCUUCGGGUGCCGACGAGUGGCGAACGGGUGAGUAAUGUAUCGGAACGUACCUUUCAGUGGGGGAUAACGUAGCGAAAGUUACGCUAAUACCGCAUAUUCUGUGAGCAGGAAAGCAGGGGAUCGCAAGACCUUGCGCUGAUUGAGCGGCCGAUAUCAGAUUAGCUAGUUGGUGAGGUAAAGGCUCACCAAGGCGACGAUCUGUAGCGGGUCUGAGAGGAUGGUCCGCCACACUGGAACUGAGACACGGUCCAGACUCCUACGGGAGGCAGCAGUGGGGAAUUUUGGACAAUGGGGGCAACCCUGAUCCAGCCAUGCCGCGUGAGUGAAGAAGGCCUUCGGGUUGUAAAGCUCUUUCGGCCGGGAAGAAAUCGUAUGGGUUAAUACCCUGUGCGGAUGACGGUACCGGCAUAAGAAGCACCGGCUGACUACGUGCCAGCCGCCGCAGUAAUAC
rnacentral:rRNA from 1 species